AAUAACGUGCAACAAAUAUAUUGUAAAUUGGUCAGGAUUGGAAAAUAGCAGCCAUAUCAAUCACUAUUUGUGUGCACUUUUUUUAU
rnacentral:SRP_RNA from 1 species